UGUACCCGCAUCACACGACGUCGUUUGAUUAGGGGUACAGCCAGCUUGGCUGUACCCGAGGGCAGCCAAAAAAUUGCGGUAGGAUAGGAUAAGCCCUAAUUUUGUGAAUUAGUAAAUCAAUCAGAUGGGCUGGCCCACAGCCCACGCACGAUUUGCGAAAGACAACAUUGACAAAGACCAAAAAGAAAAAAUAUCAACGACGACAACAGCAGCAACAGAAACGGUUGCGGUAGCUGCUGACGGUAAUCGGACGGUGGAGGAUACCAGUCACUGCUGGCUGGUGAGGGCGGACGACAGAGGACAUUGGAUUUCGCUGGAAUAGUGAGAGUAGCACAUUAUAGUUUUUGUGGUCGCAAAACUCGUAAUCGUCGGCGAUAAGGGCUAUUUUUUGUAUGGAUGAGAUCAAAUUCAUUGGAGAUAAUCAUCCUGAAGAUGUCAGAUGGCUUUGUUCACUGUCCGAGUCCGAACUAAAUUACAAAUCUAUAGUAGGGGUGUGGUAGAUAAAACAUUGUAGAAGGGGUGCAUAGCAAAAGCCGAAGGAGCCUUCAGUUUGUUUUGUUAACUUUUGGUCGUGUUGUAGUGAAAGGUGGUUAGAAAGGAUAUGCAGUCUCAUAGUGAGCCCAUUAAUUAGAAGUCCAUUCUCAUAAUAACUUUCUAAACUUAUAUUAUAAGUUUUCUGGACACUCCUACCUUCAGUGGCGGACCUAGGCUUGGGCAACCUAGGUCACGUGACCCACUAAUAUUAAAAAAAAAAAAAAUUAAUUUUGAAAACCCAGAAACGCGGAAAGCAAGCAAGCAGUGUAGCAGCAUCCAAAUCAAAACAGAAAACCUAAAACUUCUCCCUGCCUCCCUCUCUAUUCGACGCAGUCACGCAGGCCGCAGCCACCGCCCACCGGCCCACCAGGUCAUCCGACCACCGAAGUGACCGAACCCAGAUCCCGUAAUCCGCAGCAGAACCAAGUCGGAGGCACCGUGGUCGCGGACUCACAGGGAAGAGGAACCGAGCACUCGAGCAGCGUCGAGCAUCGAGGAAGAGGAGGAGGAGCGACUAGCCGAGCCACCGAGGACUCGAGGAGCGGAGGAGGCGAGGACUCGAGGAGGAGGAGCCGUCGAGCACUGCUGCCGUCGAGGAGCGGAGGAGGCGAGGACCGAUUUUGAGGACAUGCUGAUCAGCCUGAAGAAACUUGCCCUUCAACGAGCUCUAACUGUAGGGCAUGAAAGUCUUGCCCAGAAGCAGGGGCGGACCUACGUACCUCUAGAGGGGUCCAAAGGGACCCCCAUUAUUUUUGAAAAAAAAAACUGUAAAAUUAAUAUUAGGGUAAUAAAUUACACUUGAAAUAGUUAAGUUAUGUAUAAUUAACUUACACUAAUACCAAUGAAAUGUACUUGAAGCAUAAUGGUUCUGUGAAUAUUAUGGUUCCCAUGUAACCAAGGUUCAAACCCUUAUAAGCAAGUUAGAGAUUAUUUUUUUCCA